rnacentral:rRNA from 1 species
CUUUACUAUAGCUUGUCAUUGCAAUUUUAUUUUUAUUGUUUAGCCUAGGUGGGAGACUUUGAAGCUCAGGCGCCAGCUUGAGUGGAGUCAGAAGGUGAAAUACCACCCUGUAAAGAUGAACUUGCUAAUCCCUGCUUAACCUACAGGGAGACAGUGACUGGUGGGUAGUUUAACUGGGGCGGUUGCCUCCUAAAUGGUAACGGAGGCGUUUAUUAAGGUAGGCUAGGCAUGGAUGGAAAUCAUGCCGGUAGUGCAAACGCAUAAGCCUGCUUGACUGCAAGGGCAGCGACCCGCGCAGGCACGAAAGUGGAAGUUAGUGAUCCGAUGCGUUCGAGUGGAAGACGCAAAGCCCAACGGAUAAAAGUUA